UACGGGGGGAGCAAGCGUUGUUCGGAUUUACUGGGCGUAAAGGGCGCGUAGGCGGUCACUACAAGUCAGUUGUGAAAUCUCUGGGCUUAACUCAGAACGGUCAACUGAUACUGUCGGACUAGAGUGCAGAAGGGGCAACUGGAAUUCUCGGUGUAGCGGUGAAAUGCGUAGAGAUCGGCAGGAACACCCAGGGGGAAACCAGUGGACUGGGCAGGAGCUGACGCUCAGGUGCGAAAGCGUGGGGAGCGAACCGG
rnacentral:rRNA from 1 species